ACUCACUCACUUGUAAGUGCUCAAGCACUUCUUUCCCUCUCAGUGCUUCUCUGCAUGGAAGUGAGCUGGGAGAUCUUUGGAGGCCCUUUAGCCCCACUAAGAGAACAACAGAAAAGGAGGAUAAAAGAGGAAGAAGUACAAACUGAGAAGAAACAGCAGCAGCUCUUCAAGUUGGUGGCUGUUAGAGCAGAAGACACAAAGGAACUUGCUGAAGGCAAAUGGACUAUUCAGAUGUCACUGAAAGCACAACACGAUGAUGCAGUGCUUCUCUACAGUAAUGUAUUCAUUAUUUUAUUCUGGUUAAUCUAUGGUGUGUUGAGAAGACAGCACCUCUGUUUUGCAGACCUGCCUUUGGGAAGCUCUCUUCCUUUCCUUUGCUCUCCUGCAUAUGAGCCUAAUUAUUGUCAGCACAGAGGAGGUGCAAAGUUAAAGCCCGUGGCUGCCACUUCUGCAGACAUUUUUCAGAAGAUCCCCAUCCCUCUCAAGGAACUGUUUUCAAAGUGGCCUCCAGCACCCUCCAAAUCGCCUUGUUUCACGUUUGGCAAAAACUGGUAUUGUUGACCCACUGUGUUAACAGUGCUGGCACACUGUGAAGGAUAGAUAGAGCCAUUUGGGUGAGAAAUCUGUGAUGGGCUCCUAUGUGAAAACAUUUAGUAUCUGCUUUUGCUUUAAUCACUUACUGUUUUUUAAGCCAGUGACCAAAACAUCCUGCUGAAAUAGGAACACCGGGAUCUCAUCUGCAGGAAGAAUGAACGCUGUUAGACAGGCCUUGCUAUCAUGUAGACUCAACACUAUAUCAAGCAACCGUAUUAUUUGCUGGUUUUACUGUUGUUUUUAAGACUGCUUGAGAAAAGUCGCAUUAACCAGGCUUAUAAACUUUCUAACGGCUACAUAAAAUUAUACCUCAUCUUUGUUUAUCCAUAGCAUAAAGCUACCCUGAUAAAAAUAAAAUAGAGACUUCAUCUUUUAGAGGUUUACUAUACCUUUAUGUUGCCCUCAGGCCACUUCUAUUUUUCCUGGAAGAAAGCUCAUUCAUAUUUCUUCCAGCAUAGGACCAAUCCCUUUCACUUUGUAAAGGCUAGAGCUGUUUGUGAUAAAUCCUCAGCCCUUGAGGUCACAUGUAUAUUUGAAUGAAAUGUGAUAGUUAUUUUUCUCUCGUGCUUUAAACAUCCCCAUUUCAUAGUUGUGGAUACUCUCACUGGAUUAAAUGUUUUCUAAUAUAU
rnacentral:lncRNA from 7 species